rnacentral:rRNA from 1 species
CUCCUAAGGCUAAAUACUCUCUAGUGACCGAUAGUGAACCAGUACCGUGAGGGAAAGGUGAAAAGCACCCCGGAAGGGGAGUGAAAUAGAACCUGAAACCGUGUGCUUACAAGUAGUCAGAGCCCGUUAAUGGGUGAUGGCGUGCCUUUUGUAGAAUGAACCGGCGAGUUACGAUUUGAUGCAAGGUUAAGCAGUAAAUGUGGAGCCGUAGCGAAAGCGAGUCUGAAUAGGGCGUUUAGUAUUUGGUCGUAGACCCGAAACCAGGUGAUCUACCCUUGGUCAGGUUGAAGUUCAGGUAACACUGAAUGGAGGACCGAACCGACUUACGUUGAAAAGUGAGCGGAUGAACUGAGGGUAGCGGAGAAAUUCCAAUCGAACCUGGAGAUAGCUGGUUCUCUCCGAAAUAGCUUUAGGGCUAGCCUCAAGUGAUGAUUAUUGGAGGUAGAGCACUGUUUGGACGAGGGGCCCCUCUCGGGUUACCGAAUUCAGACAAACUCCGAAUGCCAAUUAAUUUAACUUGGGAGUCAGAACAUGGGUGAUAAGGUCCGUGUUCGAAAGGGAAACAGCCCAGACCACCAGCUAAGGUCCCAAAAUAUAUGUUAAGUGGAAAAGGAUGUGGCGUUGCCCAGACAACUAGGAUGUUGGCUUAGAAGCAGCCAUCAUUUAAAGAGUGCGUAAUAGCUCACUAGUCGAGUGACACUGCGCCGAAAAUGUACCGGGGCUAAACAUAUUACCGAAGCUGUGGAUUGUCCUUUGGACAAUGGUAGGAGAGCGUUCUAAGGGCGUUGAAGCAUGAUCGUAAGGACAUGUGGAGCGCUUAGAAGUGAGAAUGCCGGUGUGAGUAGCGAAAGACGGGUGAGAAUCCCGUCCACCGAUUGACUAAGGUUUCCAGAGGAAGGCUCGUCCGCUCUGGGUUAGUCGGGUCCUAAGCUGAGGCCGACAGGCGUAGGCGAUGGAUAACAGGUUGAUAUUCCUGUACCACCUAUAAUCGUUUUAAUCGAUGGGGGGACGCAGUAGGAUAGGCGAAGCGUGCGAUUGGAUUGCACGUCUAAGCAGUAAGGCUGAGUAUUAGGCAAAUCCGGUACUCGUUAAGGCUGAGCUGUGAUGGGGAGAAGACAUUGUGUCUUCGAGUCGUUGAUUUCACACUGCCGAGAAAAGCCUCUAGAUAGAAAAUAGGUGCCCGUACCGCAAACCGACACAGGUAGUCAAGAUGAGAAUUCUAAGGUGAGCGAGCGAACUCUCGUUAAGGAACUCGGCAAAAUGACCCCGUAACUUCGGGAGAAGGGGUGCUCUUUAGGGUUAACGCCCAGAAGAGCCGCAGUGAAUAGGCCCAAGCGACUGUUUAUCAAAAACACAGGUCUCUGCUAAACCGUAAGGUGAUGUAUAGGGGCUGACGCCUGCCCGGUGCUGGAAGGUUAAGAGGAGUGGUUAGCUUCUGCGAAGCUACGAAUCGAAGCCCCAGUAAACGGCGGCCGUAACUAUAACGGUCCUAAGGUAGCGAAAUUCCUUGUCGGGUAAGUUCCGACCCGCACGAAAGGCGUAACGAUUUGGGCACUGUCUCAACGAGAGACUCGGUGAAAUCAUAGUACCUGUGAAGAUGCAGGUUACCCGCGACAGGACGGAAAGACCCCGUGGAGCUUUACUGUAGCCUGAUAUUGAAAUUCGGCACAGCUUGUACAGGAUAGGUAGGAGCCUUUGAAACGUGAGCGCUAGCUUACGUGGAGGCGCUGGUGGGAUACUACCCUAGCUGUGUUGGCUUUCUAACCCGCACCACUUAUCGUGGUGGGAGACAGUGUCAGGCGGGCAGUUUGACUGGGGCGGUCGCCUCCUAAAAGGUAACGGAGGCGCUCAAAGGUUCCCUCAGAAUGGUUGGAAAUCAUUCAUAGAGUGUAAAGGCAUAAGGGAGCUUGACUGCGAGACCUACAAGUCGAGCAGGGUCGAAAGACGGACUUAGUGAUCCGGUGGUUCCGCAUGGAAGGGCCAUCGCUCAACGGAUAAAAGCUACCCCGGGGAUAACAGGCUUAUCUCCCCCAAGAGUUCACAUCGACGGGGAGGUUUGGCACCUCGAUGUCGGCUCAUCGCAUCCUGGGGCUGUAGUCGGUCCCAAGGGUUGGGCUGUUCGCCCAUUAAAGCGGUACGCGAGCUGGGUUCAGAACGUCGUGAGACAGUUCGGUCCCUAUCCGUCGUGGGCGUAGGAAAUUUGAGAGGAGCUGUCCUUAGUACGAGAGGACCGGGAUGGACAUACCUCUGGUGUACCAGUUGUCGUGCCAACGGCAUAGCUGGGUAGCUAUGUGUGGACGGGAUAAGUGCUGAAAGCAUCUAAGCAUGAAGCCCCCCUCAAGAUGAGAUUUCCCAACUUCGGUUAUAAGAUCCCUCAAAGAUGAUGAGGUUAAUAGGUUCGAGGUGGAAGCAUGGUGACAUGUGGAGCUGACGAAUACUAAUCGAUCGAAGACUUAAUCAA